GCAAGUCGAGGGGCAGCAGGAGUGCUUGCACUCCGUGGCGACCGGCGCACGGGUGCGCACGCGUAUGGAACCUGCCCUUUGCAGGGGAAUAGCCCAGAGAAAUUUGGUUUAAUGCCCCGUAGUACCGUGCCCCCUCCUGUGGCUACGGUUAAAGCCUUCGGGCGGCAAAGGAUGGCCAUGCGUCCCAUUAGUUAGUUGGUAAGGUAACGGCUUACCAAGACCGCGAUGGGUAGGGGCCCUGAGAGGGGGAUC
rnacentral:rRNA from 1 species